rnacentral:rRNA from 1 species
CUCUGAUGUUAGCGGCGGACGGGUGAGUAACACGUGGAUAACCUACCUAUAAGACUGGGAUAACUUCGGGAAACCGGAGCUAAUACCGGAUAAUAUUUUGAACCGCAUGGUUCAAAAGUGAAAGACGGUCUUGCUGUCACUUAUAGAUGGAUCCGCGCUGCAUUAGCUAGUUGGUAAGGUAACGGCUUACCAAGGCAACGAUGCAUAGCCGACCUGAGAGGGUGAUCGGCCACACUGGAACUGAGACACGGUCCAGACUCCUACGGGAGGCAGCAGUAGGGAAUCUUCCGCAAUGGGCGAAAGCCUGACGGAGCAACGCCGCGUGAGUGAUGAAGGUCUUCGGAUCGUAAAACUCUGUUAUUAGGGAAGAACAUAUGUGUAAGUAACUGUGCACAUCUUGACGGUACCUAAUCAGAAAGCCACGGCUAACUACGUGCCAGCAGCCGCGGUAAUACGUAGGUGGCAAGCGUUAUCCGGAAUUAUUGGGCGUAAAGCGCGCGUAGGCGGUUUUUUAAGUCUGAUGUGAAAGCCCACGGCUCAACCGUGGAGGGUCAUUGGAAACUGGAAAACUUGAGUGCAGAAGAGGAAAGUGGAAUUCCAUGUGUAGCGGUGAAAUGCGCAGAGAUAUGGAGGAACACCAGUGGCGAAGGCGACUUUCUGGUCUGUAACUGACGCUGAUGUGCGAAAGCGUGGGGAUCAAACAGGAUUAGAUACCCUGGUAGUCCACGCCGUAAACGAUGAGUGCUAAGUGUUAGGGGGUUUCCGCCCCUUAGUGCUGCAGCUAACGCAUUAAGCACUCCGCCUGGGGAGUACGACCGCAAGGUUGAAACUCAAAGGAAUUGACGGGGACCCGCACAAGCGGUGGAGCAUGUGGUUUAAUUCGAAGCAACGCGAAGAACCUUACCAAAUCUUGACAUCCUUUGACAACUCUAGAGAUAGAGCUUUCCCCUUCGGGGGACAAAGUGACAGUGUGCAUGGUGUCGUCAGCUCGUGUCGUGAGAUGUUGGGUUAGUCCCGCACGAGCGCACCCUUAGCUUAGUGCCAUCAUUAG